rnacentral:tRNA from 2 species
CAAAAUGUAGCUUAACUAGUAAAGCUCCCCGCUUACACCGGGACGAUAUCUGUGUGACACAGAUCAUUUUGA